rfam:Campylobacter rectus RM3267 contig00028, whole genome shotgun sequence.
GGGAGCGACUUGGCUUCGACAGGAGCAGAGCGGUCACGGUGGCACGUCGCUUUGAGCAAAGCGUAAAAAGCUCAAAUAAAUUUAAACGCAAACAACGUUAAUUACGCUCCUGCUUACGCUAAAGCCGCGUAAGUUCAGUUGAGCCUCGCCUAGUUUGAAACUAGCUAAAACGGCGGCGAGUAACCCUAGCUAGCGUAGGUUGGCGGCCCGACGAGCUGCUAGCUGAAAUCUUGUCUUAGUCUAAAAUAAGGUUUUGGAAAGUGAGCCCUUUUAGAUGAAAUUUUCACUUUUGCUAAGCGUGUAGAGGCUGCGAUCGGUUUGUUUUUGGACAGGGGUUCGAUCCCCCUCGCUUCCACCA